CUUCACCGACCCGAACCACAGCGGCCGUUCGGCCGGCCGCCCGGCACCGUAGGUGGCGAGCAACGCGUGUGCCUC
rnacentral:antisense_RNA from 1 species